rnacentral:ncRNA from 2 species
CCAAUUAAAUCUGAACAGGCGGUGAACUCUUAGAGGUUCAUGCGGCCGGAUCACACAUGUGUGAUAGCAGAGUAGUGCCAAAAAAGGCACACCUGUGGGACAGUA